rnacentral:rRNA from 1 species
UACGUAGGGCGCAAGCGUUAUCCGGAUUUACUGGGCGUACAGCGCGCGCAGGCGGUUGCGUAUGUGAGCGGUGACAUCCGCGGGCUCAACCCGCGGCGGCCCGCUUACACAGCGCGACUGGAGGCAGGGAGAGGGAUGUGGAAUACCCGGUGGAGCGGUGAAAUGCGUAGAGAUCGGGUGGAACACCAGCGGCGAAGGCGGCAUCCUGGCCCUGUACUGACGCUGAGGCGCGAUAGCGUGGGGAGCAAACGGG